GUGCAUGAUUUACAUAUUUGUCUAAUACAGUGAUUCUCAACUCAACUCUACUAAAAUCUUAAUCUCAAACUGAAUUCGUUAAUACAGAUCCCUUCUUUCAGCCCAUCCUAUUCAUGGAAUAUUCCCCACAACAUUCUUUGUCAAAAUAUUUAAUGUCACGGUUUUUCUAGUUUUCACCUUUUCCUUCCCUUGUGCUUUUGACUACUGCUUCAGAAGAUCUAUGUAAUCAAAACUUCUUUGACAACAUUUCCUGAAAUUUAUCUUCAAUUGAUUGCAAUCAUUCAUUUUUUAAGGCUUCUUGUGUUAUACCACUAGCAACCUAACAUCCCAUAUUAGAUACACUUGUAUCCAUUUUAGGCCUAGUAACUAGAAAAAUCCAAACCUAAGUCCAUAUUUUAUUAUGGCCAAUGUUUGAUCUUGCAUCAAUUACAUACACAACUUCUAUCAGUAGAUUACAGCAGGACUAGGGAGGAUUUAUGCUAAUUCUUCCAAAUUGUUGAAAUACCUUAUAUUUUAAUCCAAAAAGUUUAUUGGGUUGCCACAUCAGCAAUAAGAUUUCUUGAA
rnacentral:misc_RNA from 1 species